rnacentral:lncRNA from 1 species
CACCAAUAAGUGGGACGAAGGCCCUAUCGCCCGGCAUUCUGGACACCGCCGCCGUGCGCCGGCCGUGGGUGGUAUUACUGGCUGGGCGCGGAGUGGAGUGUGCAGGCUGAGCGCUUCCAGUGCAUUCUGCGGCUGGGGAAUGAGGGCCUCGGGCCGGGCAUAGGAGGUGGUAUCGCCGGCGGAGCGCAGAAUCACCCGCUGGAGGCUUCCCACGGUGACUUGCAGAAGUCCGCUGAGACCCGAGGAAGCCGAGGCGGGGCACAGAGCGUGUGUUUGGUGUGGUGGCGAUACUCGUGCCUCCAUCUUGGGUGCUGGCAGCGGAAACCACUCUCCCAGCUUCCGCUGCGCGGAGCCUGACUCGCAGCGUCCCACGCCAGUCGGGGUCGUCUGCGCCGCGUGCCCCAGAAACACCCCGAAGAGUUCUCCCUCUCCUCUCUGGUGUCCCCUGUUCGACAUCCCACCAACCUUAGUCUCCUUUGAAGAACUAUCCACAGUUUCUGGUGUUCUCCAGUCUCGCCUAGCCAACAUCUUUGUGAUUUUCAAACGUUAGUUUAUCCCCAACAUCAUUUGGAGAAAUGUUAAACUUGCAAAUUCUGAGGCCCGCACCCGGAAUUCUGAUUGACUUACCCGGGGGUGGCGGCGAUAACUUGGACGUUAACUCAGUAAACGACUUGCGUGAUUUUAAUGCAGCUGGUCCGACGACCGCAUUUCGGCAAUCUCUGAAUCACCGAGUUGGAGUCUGUUGCUUGCUGUGGGACAAAGGCGUCAACUCAAAUUCUUGACUCCCAGGAAGAUCUGCCUAAUCUAGUGUGCGAGUCAUUGGUCCUUGUAUAACUAAGGACAAGGCCAACUGGUAACUCAUUAGAUAAGAACAUCGAGUCCAUCACUUGUUUGGAGAGUUAGGAGGCUCAUAAUUUGGGGUGAUUCACAGAUUAUAAAGCAUUUUCACCAUAUAGAAAAAUUUUGGUGAGGAAGAUUGUCCCUGAACUAACAUCUGUGCCAAACUUUCUGUAUAUGGGAAUGUGGGAAGCUGCCACAGCAGGGCUUGAUGAACAGUGUGUAGGGCUGGCCCGCUGCCCCCCCCCC